GGCAUGCCUUACACAUGCAAGUCGAGGGAGCAAUCCUGGGCGAGUGGCGAACGGGUGAGUAAUACAUCGGAACGUGCCCAAUCGUGGGGGAUAACGCAGCGAAAGCUGUGCUAAUACCGCAUACGAUCUACGGAUGAAAGACCUUGCGCGAAUGGAGCGGCCGAUGGCAGAUUAGGUAGUUGGUGAGGUAAAGGCUCACCAAGCCUUCGAUCUGUAGCUGGUCUGAGAGGACGACCAGCCACACUGGGACUGAGACACGGCCCAGACUCCUACGGGAGGCAGCAGUGGGGAAUUUUGGACAAUGGGCGAAAGCCUGAUCCAGCCAUGCCGCGUGCAGGAUGAAGGCUUCGGGUUGUAAACUGCUUUUGUACGGAACGAAA
rnacentral:rRNA from 1 species